rnacentral:rRNA from 1 species
AGCGAAUGGAUUGAGAGCUUGCUCUCUAGAAGUUAGCGGCGGACGGGUGAGUAACANGUGAGGUAACCUGCCCAUAAGACUGGNGAUAACUCCGGGAAACCGGGGCUAAUACCGGAUAAUAUUUUGAACCGCAUGGUUCGAAAUUGAAAGGCGGCUUCGGCUGUCACUUAUGGAUGGACCCGCGUCGCAUUAGCUAGUUGGUGAGGUAACGGCUCACCAAGGCAACGAUGCGUCCGACCUGAGAGGUGGNUCGNCCCCACUGNGACUGAGCGGGGACCCAACACUAAUACGGGAGGCAGCAGUAGGGAAUCUUCCGCAAUGGACGAAAGUCUGACGGAGCAACGCCGCGUGAGUGAUGAAGGCUUUCGGGUCGUAAAACUCUGUUGUUAGGGAAGAACAAGUGCUAGUUGAAUAAGCUGGCACCUUGACGGUACCUAACCAGAAAGCCACGGCUAACUACGUGCCAGCAGCCGCGGUAAUACGUAGGUGGCAAGCGUUAUCCGGAAUUAUUGGGCGUAAAGCGCGCGCAGGUGGUUUCUUAAGUCUGAUGUGAAAGCCCACGGCUCAACCGUGGAGGGUCAUUGGAAACUGGGAGACUUGAGUGCAGAAGAGAAAGUGGAAUUCCAUGUGUAGCGGUGAAAUGCGUAGAGAUAUGGAGGAACACCAGUGGCGAAGGCGACUUUCUGGUCUGUAACUGACACUGAGGCGCGAAAGCGUGGGGGGCAAACAGGAUUAGAUACCCUGGUAGNCCACGCCG